rnacentral:rRNA from 1 species
GUUUGAUCCUGGCUCAGAGCGAACGCUGGCGGCAGGCCUAACACAUGCAAGUCGAGCGCCCCUCCUUCAAGCGAGCUUGGAGGAUUGCGAUCGAGCGAAACCGAAGGGCUCGCUUGAUGGAGGGGAGCGGCAGACGGGAGAGUAACACGUGGGAACGUACCCUUUGGUUCGGAACAACCCAGGGAAACUUGGGCUAAUACCGGAUAAGCCCUUACGGGGAAAGAUUUAUCGCCGAAGGAUCGGCCCGCGUCUGAUUAGCUAGUUGGUGGGGUAAUGGCCCACCAAGGCGACGAUCACUAACUGGUCUGAGAGGAUGAUCAGCCUCGCUGGGACUGAGACACGGCCCAGACUCCUACGGGAGGCAACAGUGGGGAAUAUUGGACAAUGGGCGCAAGCCUGAUCCAGCCAUGCCACGUGGGUGAUGAAGGCCCUACGGUUGUAAAGCCCUUUCGGCGGGGAAGAUAAUGAC